GCGGAUGAAAGCAAGGGGAGAGACUGCAAGGAUGCAGCGCCGAAGGAGCAAACACAAUUAGGGUGUGAAUCUCUCAGGCAAAAAGACUCUUGCUCGACGCAGCUCUGGAGAGCGUCUAACACUAGACCACCUACGAAGACAUUUCCUUUUUACGAUAAGGGGAAAGAAACUUUCUGGUAACCGGACAGAGCU
rfam:Bacillus halodurans C-125 DNA, complete genome.